GGUGGAUGCUGCUGUGUUUGUGACCAGGACAGAUUUCUGUGUACACAAAGAUGAACCGUGUGACACUGUUGGAAUUGCUUACUUAGGAGGUGUGUGCAGUGCUAAGAGGAAGUGUGUGCUUGCCGAAGACAAUGGUCUCAAUUUGGCCUUUACCAUCGCCCAUGAGCUGGGCCACAACACUCCGCAAGAAACAGACACUGAAGACUUGGAGUGGCUGUAGACUUCCCUAAAACUGAGGAAUUGCUCUCCACUUACACAUGAUUUUUGCUACGCACUGUUAGCAGCAAGUUCCUCCUCGACAUCUGGAGGGUAGACUGUUAGCCUGGGGUUUUCAUCUUCAGGAGCUUUUAGCCAUCUUUCCAUUUCCUGCCCUGUCCCAGCCCUGUGUCUGCAGCACCAUUAGAUGAAUUACUCUCUAGGCUCGGAAGCAGGAAGCAUAUUCUUAUUCUCACCAAAUCGCCCUGUUUCCUUCAACAAAGUUCCAUGAUACUGACA
rnacentral:sRNA from 1 species